AUGGAGAAUCAGGAUGGAUUAGAAUGGAUUAUUUAUUACCUUGGUGACAACGUCGGGUGGGCGUUGAAUCGUGGACAUGUCCCCUAUGAAUCCAGGCGGCUGGGUGAACAGAUGGACCGAGCUCCCUCCUCCGCCCAAGAAGCAACCGGGGAAAGCAGCACCGACGGCCGGAACCUCCUCUGCCCAAGAAGCAGCCGGGGAAAGCAGCACCGACGGUCGGAACCUCCUCCGCCCAAGAAGCAGCCGGGGAAAGCAGCACCGAUGGCUGGAACCUCCUCGCCCAAGACGGCCAGAACAACACUACGGCGGAUCCAAAUCGCCAGUCUCCUCUGUCCAGAGCUGAACUGA
rnacentral:rRNA from 1 species